AUUGAACGCUGGCGGCAUGCCUUACACAUGCAAGUCGAACGGCAGCACGGGGCAACCUGGUGGCGAGUGGCGAACGGGUGAGUAAUGUAUCGGAACGUACCAUUGAGUGGGGGAUAACGUAGCGAAAGUUACGCUAAUACCGCAUAUUCUCUCCGGAGGAAAGCAGGGGACCGCAAGGCCUUGCGCUCUUUGAGCGGCCGAUAUCAGAUUAGCUAGUUGGUGAGGUAAAGGCUCACCAAGGCGACGAUCUGUAGCGGGGCUGAGAGGAUGAUCCGCCAAACUGGAACUGAGACACGGUCCAGACUCAGACGGGAGGCAGCAGUGGGGAAUUUUGGACAAUGGGGGCAACCCUGAUCCAGCCAUGCCGCGGGAGUGAAGAAGGCCUUCGGGUUGUAGAGCUCUUUCGGCCGGGAAAAAAUCGCAUGGGCUAAUACCCUGUGUGGAUGAUGGUACCGGAAUAAGAAGCACCGGCUAACUACGUGCCAGCCGCCGCGGUAA
rnacentral:rRNA from 1 species